GAUGAACGCUAGCUACAGGCUUAACACAUGCAAGUCGAGGGGCAGCGGGAUUGAAGCUUGCUUCAAUUGCCGGCGACCGGCGCACGGGUGAGUAACGCGUAUCCAACCUUCCGUACACUCAGGGAUAGCCUUUCGAAAGAAAGAUUAAUACCUGAUGGUAUGAUGAGAUUGCAUGAUAGCAUCAUUAAAGAUUUAUCGGUGUACGAUGGGGAUGCGUUCCAUUAGGUAGUAGGCGGGGUAACGGCCCACCUAGCCAACGAUGGAUAGGGGUUCUGAGAGGAAGGUCCCCCACAUUGGAACUGAGACACGGUCCAAAACUCCUACGGGAGGCAGCAGUGAGGAAUAUUGGUCAAUGGACGAGAGUCUGAACCAGCCAAGUAGCGUGCAGGAUGACGGCCCUAUGGGUUGUAAACUGCUUUUAUAAGGGAAUAAAGUGAGUCUCGUGAGACUUUUGCAUGUACCUUAUGAAUAAGGACGGCUAAUUCCGUGCCAG
rnacentral:rRNA from 1 species